UACGUAGGGUGCGAGCGUUAAUCGGAAUUACUGGGCGUAAAGCGUGCGUAGGCGGUUCGUUAAGUUCGUUGUGAAAGCCCCGGGCUCAACCUGGGAAUGGCAAUGGAAACUGGCGGGCUGGAGUAUGGCAGAGGGGGGUGGAAUUCCGCGUGUAGCAGUGAAAUGCGUAGAGAUGCGGAGGAACACCGAUGGCGAAGGCAGCCCCCCUGGGCUGACACUGACGCUCAGGCACGAAAGCGUGGGGAGCAAACAGG
rnacentral:rRNA from 1 species